AAAAAGAUAAAACUUUCGAUAAGUUAUGUAAACUCAGAACAAGUAUUUAACUUUAGAAAGCAUUUACAUGUUUCAAACUUAUAAUAUAUACAUAUAUAAUGUUUAAAAUUAUGUAUAUAAAACCUGUGUAAAAUGUGCUUAAAUAUGUUUCUCUUCUUUAAUGUGUUAAUUGUACUAUAUAUAACAUUAUUUUAAAAUUUCAAAAAGUUUAUGUCACAUACAAAAACCAUCAAUAAAAAAUAUAAUUCUCCAUCUACAACCA
rnacentral:lncRNA from 1 species